GACGAACGCUGGCGGCGUGCUUAACACAUGCAAGUCGAACGGAAAGGCCCUGCUUUUGUGGGGUGCUCGAGUGGCGAACGGGUGAGUAACACGUGAGUAACCUGCCCUUGACUUUGGGAUAACUUCAGGAAACUGGGGCUAAUACCGGAUAGGAGCUCCUGCUGCAUGGUGGGGGUUGGAAAGUUUCGGCGGUUGGGGAUGGACUGGCGGCUUAUCAGCUUGUUGGUGGGGUAGUGGCUUACCAAGGCUUUGACGGGUAGCCGGCCUGAGAGGGUGACCGGCCACACUAGGAUUGAGAUGCGGCCCAGACUCCUACGGGAGGCAGGGGUGGGGUAUGUUGCACAAUGGGCGGAAGCAUGAUGCAGCAACGCCGCGUGGGGGAUAACGGCAUGCGCGUUGUAAACCGCUAUCGUCUGUGACGAAGCGUUAGUGACGGUAAUGGGUAAAGAAGCACCGGCUAACUACGUG
rnacentral:rRNA from 1 species